rnacentral:piRNA from 1 species
AGUCGUUGUGGGAGAAGGAGAAGCUGGAG